UAGGGAAUAUUGGUCAAUGGACGGAAGUCUGAACCAGCCAUGCCGCGUGAAGGAUGACUGCCCUAUGGGUUGUAAACUUCUUUUGUGGUAGAGAAAAGUGGGUCAUGUAUGACCUUUUGCUAGUAUACUACGAAUAAGCAUCGGCUAACUCCGUGCCAGCAGCCGCGGUAAUACGGAGGAUGCAAGCGUUAUCCGGAUUUAUUGGGUUUAAAGGGUGCGCAGACGGGUUUGUAAGUCAGUGGUUAAAGGCAACAGCUUAACUGUAUGUAUGCCAUUGAUACUGCAGAUCUUGAGGGUAUUUGGCGUAGGCGGAAUAUGUCAUGUAGCGGUGAAAUGCAUAGAUAUGACAUAGAACACCGAUCGAGAAGUCAGCUUACGAAACUACACCUGACGUUCAUGC
rnacentral:rRNA from 1 species